UACGUAGGGCGCAAGCGUUGUCCGGAAUUAUUGGGCGUAAAGAGCUCGUAGGCGGCUUGUCACGUCGGGUGUGAAAGCCCGGGGCUUAACCCCGGGUCUGCAUUCGAUACGGGCUAGCUAGAGUGUGGUAGGGGAGAUCGGAAUUCCUGGUGUAGCGGUGAAAUGCGCAGAUAUCAGGAGGAACACCGGUGGCGAAGGCGGAUCUCUGGGCCAUUACUGACGCUGAGGAGCGGAAGCGUGGGGAGCGAACAGG
rnacentral:rRNA from 1 species